UACGGAGGGUGCAAGCGUUAUCCGGAUUCACUGGGUUUAAAGGGUGCGUAGGCGGAUAUGUAAGUCCGUGGUGAAAUCUCUGGCUUAACCCGGAAACUGCCAUGGAUACUAUGUGUCUUGAAUGUUGUUGAGGUGAGCGGAAUAUGUCAUGUAGCGGUGAAAUGCUUAGAUAUGACAUAGAACACCAAUUGCGAAGGCAGCUCACUAAGCAAAUAUUGACGCUGAGGCACGAAAGCGUGGGGAGUCAAACAGG
rnacentral:rRNA from 1 species